ACGAACGCUGGCGGCAUGCCUAACACAUGCAAGUCGAACGAGACCUUCGGGUCUAGUGGCGCACGGGUGCGUAACGCGUGGGAAUCUGCCCUUCGGUUCGGAAUAACAGUUAGAAAUGACUGCUAAUACCGGAUGAUGACGUAAGUCCAAGGAUUUAUCGCCGAAGGAUGAGCCCGCGUAAGAUUAGCUUGUUGGUGAGGUAAAGGCUCACCAAGGCUACGAUCUUUAGCUGGUCUGAGAGGAUGAUCAGCCACACUGGGACUGAGACACGGCCCAGACUCCUACGGGAGGCAGCAGUGGGGAAUAUUGGACAAUGGGGGAAACCCUGAUCCAGCAAUGCCGCGUGAGUGAUGAAGGCCUUAGGGUUGUAAAGCCCUUUCAGUGGGAAAGAUUGUGACGGUACCCACAGAAGAAGCUCCGGCUAACUCCGU
rnacentral:rRNA from 1 species